AAAUAAAUAAAUAAAAAUCAGGGAAAAUGAAAAAAAAUUAAGAAAAAAUCAGAGCUCCACAUUUAAGCCACUGCUGAGAUUGUGGUGAAUAAAGUGUGUAUAAAAUCUGAAAAAAAAAUUGUAUCCAAGAAAAAAGAAAGGGAAAGCAGAGUCUUGAAGGCAUUUGCACACCCAUGUUCAUAGCAGCGUUUUUCACAAGAGCCAAAAGCUGGGAACACCCCAAGUGUCCAGGGACCGAGGAACGGAUGAACCAGGGAGGCACAUCCGUGCAAGGGGAUAUUAUCCAGCCUUGAGAAGGAGAGACGUCCUGGCAGGUCCUCCGGCAGGGAUGGACCUUGAGGACAGCGUGCUCAGUGGGAUAAGCCAGUCUCGAAGGGACAGAUGCUGGGAGAGUCCACGGACCGGAGGGCCUAGAUAACAAAGCUCAGAGAGACAGGAAAUAGGAUGGUGGUUUCCAGGGGCUGGGGCACAGGAGGUGGGCGUGAGUGUUCAAUGGGAACAGAGUUUCCAUUUGGGAAGAUGGAAAGUUCUGGGGAUAGAGGGUGGGGAUGGCUGCACAACAAUGAAUAAUGCCACUGAGCUGUAAAAAUGGUUACGGUGGGAGUUCCCCGGCAGCUAAGUAGGUUAAGGAUCCAGCAUUGUCACUGCUGUGGCUCUGGUUAUAGCUGCGGCACCGCUGCUCCCUGGUCCGGGGACUUCCACUAUGGCCCUGGCCCCCCCAAAAAUGGUUAAGAUGGUAACUUUUAUGUUAUUGGUGUUUUACCACAAUUAAAAGAAUAGCAACGACAGUCUCUGUUGGUCAGAGUCUCUGGGUGUGGGAUAAGAAGCGCCAGCUGCGUGGUGCUGGAUGGUCCAGCAUGGGUCUUCCACUGGCACCCUUAUCUCUUUGAGGGCAGGAACCGAGUCAUGGUUAUCUCAGGGUCCCCAGCCAGUAUUUGUUGAGUGACUAACUGACUGACUGGCUGCUUCCGCAGUACAGUCCCAGCCUGGAGAUCUCUGGGAGAGCCCAGACCCUGGGCACUGGAGUAGCAGAUGUGGCCAGGAGCCCUGGCGCAGCUCAGGAGCCAAGGCCGCCUGCCAAGAAGGAAGUGCCAAACAAUAGCCCCCCAGAGACUUCCCUGAUGCCGGAUUUGCUCCUCCAGGGACAAAGGAGGCUUCCUCUGUAGGAAGUGAUACCCGAGGGAGGGCUUCCGCUAGAGCUAGCUGGGGAAGGGCCUGCGAAGGACAGGCAGGAGGAGGGGCGUCCUGGGCACCCACCAUCCCUGGGCCUGGGCACCAGAGGCCACGACAGGCGGCCACCGCCCCAGGCCACUGAGGACCCUGAACCUGGAGGUCAGAGUCAGGACGUGAGGGUCAGGGAACACGCACUUGCAUCCCCGCCCCCUGUUCACGGCCGUGUGGCCUGGAGCCCCGUCACCAGCUCCCUCCCUGGACGGGGGACAGGCCUCACGCAGGGAUCACUGUGCAUCUGGGCUCCUUGAUCCGAAGCACCCAGACCCGGGCGCGCCCUCAGUGGCGCAUCGCUCUCCUGGGGAAAACAGGCAAAAAUAAACAGACUGAAAAGGAAGUAGGCGCAAACCCAGUGCGGGGCGGCGGGAGGUGAUGAAUCUCGCCUCUCCCGGUCUGGAGUUAAUGAGGAGCCUGAGUCAGGAGGCAGAUGGGACCGACCCAUCCGCUGUGCUGCUGGAAAUGAGAAGCUGCUGGAGACGUUCUGACUCAGAACCAGAUGGCCCCUGCUCCAUCCCCUGCAUUCAAGAUGGAAGUGAAGGACCUUGAGAUGAGACGCCCUGGAUGCAGGUGAGACUCAGCACCAGUGAUAAGUGUCCUUGUGGAAAGAGGGAAGGCCCCAUGAAAGCAGAGUCAGGGACGGCAGCUACAGGCGGCUCUGAGCCCCCGUUCCCAGCGGUUUGUUGCAGCAGCUUCGGAUGCUCCGUGGAUACCAAGGCACGCGAGGGAAGGCAAGUGUCCCUGACUCCCUUCCCCUCAGGUCCCGCUUCUGGGAAGGAACUUGGUGGCCAGGGUACAGGGUUUAGAAAGAAGAAGGGAGACUCACAGGAGCGGCACGACCCGCAGCUAGGUGGGCUGAUGCAGCUGCGUGCGGUUUGAGUUCUGCAGAACACCCACACCGCUGGGCACCAGGGCUUCCCGGCGCGGCUCAGACCUUCCAGGCGGGAGGGAAGCAAUCUCAGUGAAAGUGCCGUCUGCGGUCAGCGGUCGGAGCGAGGAGGAAGUGGGGAGAUGACCCAGCUCUUUGGGGCGCGCUUCUCUGCACCUAAACCCACGGCUCUGCUUUUUUCCAGCAAACCUACCAGCACAGUCGAACUUGCCUCGGCGCCAACACAGCUUAACCUUCAGGGCCCCUCACUUGCGAAGACCCCCUUCUGCAGCCCAGUUCCUGUUUGCGUAUUCCUUUUGUCAAAGGGGCCCCCUCCGCAGAUGGGGAAAGUAUUGGGUCCCACACACUCUGGCUCCCUCCCUGUUGCCACCAGGGUACAGCACACAGCCUGCAGUAUAGACGCUUCCGUGGGUUUUCUGUCAUCUGAACAUCCACCCAGCCAGUCCUCCGUGUCUUCAGCCAAGCUGGAUUAUCGAGUCCCUGCUGUCUCGGGAUGUAACUUGGAAAGAGAACCAGAGACAAUUUGGAGGCAAAGUAAAUGGGCUGCAGCAAGAUGCGCAUGAAGAAAGAGAGAGGCUGAAAGGGGAACCUGAGCAGAGAGUGGUUGUUCUACCUGGAAAUCAUGACAGCCCCACCAAGGAGAUAACCUCCAGUCUGGGCUUUUAAGGAUGGGUAGGAGUUCGCCAGGAGACAAGGGGGAGGACAGCUUAGGUCGGGGGCACUGUGCGGGCAAAGGUGUGGGACAGCCCCUGGCCCUGGGGCAGCAGUGUGCGACAGCCUGCCUGGCCCAUGGGGCCUGCAGGAUGAAGAGAGAGGGAAGGGCCGGGGCUGGGCCUGGAGUCCUGGGGCAGGGAGAAGUAACAGGUGUGAGGUCCGCAAACGUGGCAGCUUAAAAUGAGAAGAAUCUCCUUCCUCUGAAGGCUGGGGCAGGGGGUGGGGGUGAGGUGUUUCCAGGCCCCUUCCAGCUGCUGGCUGUUGUGGCAGUUCCAUUGUCCAGCCCCUUGCAGCUGCACCCUCCAGUCUCUGCCUCCCUCAUUACAGGACCUUCUCCCUGUGUCUCUCUGGGUCCCUUCGCCUUUUUUUUUUUUCCAGCUGCACCCACAUCAGGCAGAAGUUCCCAAGCCAGGGGUCGAAUGCGCUCCACAUCUGUAAGUAACCAGAGCCACUGCAGUGACAACGCCAGAUCCUUAACCCACUGAGCCACCAGGGAACUCCCCUUCUCCUCUUCUUAUGAGGACACCAGCCAUAGUAGAGACGUUACUAAUCAGGUAAUUCAAUUACAUCUGCAAGGACACCAGAGUAUUUCCAAGUAAGGUCACGUACACAGGGGCCUGGGCUCAGGGCUUCAAUGACCUUUCUGGGGACACAGUUCAACCCACAACAGGGAGGAGGAACCACAGGACUUGGUACUGAUUAGAUGGACCUUAUGGCCUGAAUGGUCUACACGGCCUCCCUCCCACGGCACAUGUUGAAAUCCUGAUAGCCUUGUGACCGCGUCGGAGACAGGGCCUUUAGGAGGUGAGGACCGCGGCUGUCUGCAAGCCAGGAAGAGAGCUCUCAGCAGAAACCUCGUGCUGCCAAAACCUUGAUGUUCCAGCCUCCAGAACCGUGAGAAGAAAGUUUCUAUCCUUAAGCCCCCAGUGUGCGGCAUUUUAUCACGGCAGGCUGAGCUAAGACAAUGGGGUUGGGGCUGGAUGAGCAAGCAGCAGAGCGGAACUGAGGAGGAAUUCCCCAGGCUCGGAGGAAGCUCUGACCCACAGGUGCUGGGUCCCGAUGGCCCGGCCAGGAGCUGAGGUUUUAGGGAGGAACUGGACUCGGCCCAAGGCUUCCAGGAGCUGCAGGUCAGGCAGGGAGUCAGGAAGGGGCCCAGGCCUGCCAGGUACAAUGAUGCAGGUGGUGGCUCAGGGACAAGGGGCCAGGACAAUCGAAGCGGCCCCAAGGGGCAGGGAGGCCCCAGGAAGGGGCCAUCAGAACAGUCAAGAACCCGGUCGUUGGCACUUCCUCCGGCCUAACUACUCAGCGUUGUCUCUGCAGCAGCUCUGGAUCAGUCCCUGGCCUUGGAACUUCCACAUGUCGAGGGUGCAGCCAAACACUUUAAAGAAAGAACUCUUGCCUGCUCUGACUGAUGGCUCCCAGGCCAGGGAUCAGAUACGAGCUGCAGCUGCAACCUGCGCUGCAGCUGCAGCAACGCUGGAUCCUUCAACCCACCAUUCAUUCUUAUGCCGCUUAAAUGUCACCUCCACUACGUGCAGAAGCUCGAUGGACUUGAGCACGUAGAUCGGGCAACAUUUGGGGGGUUUGGCCUCACAGAUGGUCGGCUCUCUGGGUUGGCAAGUUCCUGCCUGGCUUCCUUUGCUGUUGUCACGGAGUUGCCGUUGCCAUGGCGUCUGUGUGUGCACAGGGGACCAUCACGCAUCUCCUCAGCUUCGGGAGCACGCAUCCAGAGCCUGGGAAGACUGCGGAGAGAGAAGAAGGAGGCGUGGCGCGUGGGAGGGAGUCCACCUGGGCGCCUCGUGUUGACGGAGCCGAGAAAAGAGGGGUGGUACUGUGCCGCCCCUGAACCAGAAGGGAGGGAUGGAGGCAGAGGUGCCUGCAGGGCCUGCCGGGCCCUCAGCUGUAGAGGCCCAGGGAGGGGGGGUCAACCGAGGGUCUUCUAUCUGGCCUUCUGCUGCCCCUCCUUCGCAACCACUUCCUGCCACUGUCCCAAAGUCACAGCAAAUGCAGCCCAGGAGUGAAAUACUGCCGAUUUAAUCUGUGCCUCUGAUAAAUAAAUGAACAAGUGUUUAA